rnacentral:rRNA from 1 species
CCUACGGGUGGCAGCAGUGGGGAAUAUUGCACAAUGGGGGAAACCCUGAUGCAGCGACGCCGCGUGAGUGAAGAAGUAUCUCGGUAUGUAAAGCUCUAUCAGCAGGGAAGAAAAAAGACGGUACCUGACUAAGAAGCCACGGCUAACUACGUGCCAGCAGCCGCGGUAAUACGCAGGGGGCAAGCGUGUGCCGGAUUUACUGGGGUUAAAGGGAGCGUAGGCGGCGCGGCAGGUCUGAGGUGAAAGGCGGGGGCUUAACCCCCGAACUGCUUUGGAAACUGCCAUGCUAGAGUGCUGGAGAGGUAAGUGGAAUUCCUGGGGUAGCGGUGAAAUGCGUAGAUAUUAGGAGGAACACCAGUGGCGAAGGCGGCUUACUGGACAGUAACUGACGUUGAGGCUCGAAAGCGUGGGGAGCAAACAGGAUUAGAUACCCUGGUAGUC